rnacentral:rRNA from 1 species
CCUACGGGAGGCUGCAGUGGGGAAUAUUGCACAAUGGAGGAAACUCUGAUGCAGCGACGCCGCGUGAGUGAAGAAGUAAUUCGUUAUGUAAAGCUCUAUCAGCAGGGAAGAUAGUGACGGUACCUGACUAAGAAGCUCCGGCUAAAUACGUGCCAGCAGCCGCGGUAAUACGUAUGGCGCAAGCGUUAUCCGGAUUUACUGGGUGUAAAGGGAGUGUAGGUGGCAUCACAAGUCAGAAGUGAAAGCCCGGGGCUCAACCCCGGGACUGCUUUUGAAACUGUGGAGCUGGAGUGCAGGAGAGGCAAGUGGAAUUCCUAGUGUAGCGGUGAAAUGCGUAGAUAUUAGGAGGAACACCAGUGGCGAAGGCGGCUUGCUGGACUGUAACUGACACUGAGGCUCGAAAGCGUGGGGAGCAAACAGGAUUAGAUACCCUGGUAGUC